CUGGUUGGAAAGAAAAAGCACCACUUCCUGCUUGGCUUAUGAAAAUCCCCCAAGUACUCUCUUCUCUGAUUUUCUCCAUCUGCUGGCUUACUGGAGAGGACUCCAGAGACCUAUGAGAAACAAGAACUUUAAGACAGAAGAAACCUGGAACAGAGCCUGCUGCCACUCCUUUGCCACCCCAUCAGAUGUAAGCAAGAAAUAACGUUUAUUUUGGCUCCAGUUGACCUUGGUGGGGUACUGUUCAAUGGUGUGAAUUUCCCUUCCGUGAGGUUCCAUCUGUCAGACUGAACUCUGCCUGCUCGGAGACUGCCUCCCAGAUUCACCACCAGCAUCAGCACACGAGGUGGGAGAGUCACGAGGCCCAGCCAAGCCAGCUGCACCAGCUCUACCAGGACCCUGAGGAAGAACUGGGAUUUCAAACCUGUGAACGGUAUACUUCAAUAAAGCUGGGGGAAGAAAAGGUCAAGGGAAGCUGCAAAUGCUUGGAGAGAAAGAGUUAUUUGCCUAAAUAAGUGGCAUGAUUAAUUGCAUUUUUUGGAAGGUUGGCAUACUUCUUAUAUAGAAAAAAAUGGCUUCCAAAACAAUGCCCUUCCAAGAGCUACAGUGUGACGACAAAACCUG